CCCUCUUGAGCAUUAGCUAGGAAACCACUGCCUAGGGUCUUCUGAGGUGAAGCAGGACAUUUGAACAAGCCGAAGCAAGCAUAAUGCUGAAGGGUAUAAUCUCUAUGACCUUCCUUCUUUCAGCUCUUUUUCCAUUACAGUGCUCCUUUAUGCAAGAAGUGGGUGACACUGCCUGUCUUCUUGUUCAUCUUCUGUCUUUUCAUUAUUUAAUUGCUCAUUUGCCUCGGCUUUGAACCAUCUCAUCAUAAGCUAGGCUUGCACCCCCACUGCCUUGGCUUAGGAAAGCAUAAUAAUUUUAACCAUGAUAAUAAGAACCCUACAAAUGACAUCUCCAUUCCCACAUCCAUUUGCAGCUAUCUCUUCUCACUGUUGAAGAAAUGGCAGCUAUGAAGAAAGGCUAUCUUCCUGUGCAUAUUUUUAAAAUCUGUCCCAUCCUAUUUUGAGGCACUGACUUUACUAUCAAAGUAUCCUUUGCUGAACUUAAUUGUUUUUAAUACUCAUAAAGCUUUCAAGGAAGAGUGGGUUGAACUAACUUGGAAACUCUUCUGGUGUGAAUGAGCAGUCUGCAGUAGAACGUUUUCAAAAA
rnacentral:lncRNA from 1 species